rnacentral:lncRNA from 13 species
CACACGUGUGAGGACACGUGCCGGGAGCCACACACGGACACACCUGGGCACACCUGGGCACACCUGGGCACACCUGGACCCCUCCCAGCCCUGGUCUAUCCCAAAUUCCCCCUCCAGUUCCCCCCACUCCUGUCCUGAGAUUCCCAGUCCUCAAAUUGCCCCUACUGAUGCUCCAGGAUCCUCUCCCGCAUCCCACUGGGAUCCUUCCCGGGGUCUCCAUGGAUUUAGGAGCAUUCCCGGGACACCACACCCACCCCCAGGGCUCGGAAUGGGAAUGGGGAAUCAUGAAAACCGGGAUAAUCCAGGCUGUUCCUCUUUCCCAGGGGUUUUGGGUGGCAUUCCCGGUGGAAACGCCCUUCCCAGCUGCACCAAAGCAGGGAAUGAAGUGGGAUUUGGGGAUUUUCCCCGGAUUUUGAUCCCCAAAUGCCUCCUUUAAAACGGGGAUCCUUAAAUGCCUGCAGCUCCCUAGGGAAUGAGCAUUCCAGGGCUGCACCACGCCCCACCCAUCCCGAGAAAUCCCAGCCUUCAUCCUCCCAAUCCUGCUGGGAUCUGCCCCGGGGAUCCCAAAAAGAACCCGGCCACAGCUUCCAGGGCUUGUUGGGAGUGGGAAGAGGGAGGAAAUGUGGGAAUAUCCAACUGGGAUCACCAUCUCCUAUUCCAGGUGCCCCCCGGGGCGGGGCCGGUCGGGAUCGGGUGGGGAUGCUCCGAUGGGUUCCUGGAGGGUUCCUGGAGGAUGGAUAACCCGGCUGGAAGUGAUUGCCGGACUCCUGCCUCCCUGCUGCCGGCAUUCCCACCCCAAAUCCCGGUUUUCCCUGGGAUCUGCUGGCAUUCCGUGCCCAUUCCCCAAACCUCACGUGGCGUUCCCACAGGAUAAAACGUAGGGAUCGCCCACCAGAGCCAGAACGGAUGGAAAAUGGGAUCCAUCCCUAUGGAUACGGCUGGAUGGGAGGGGAGUGGUCCAGCCCCGUUCCUGCCUGGAUGGGGACGCUCUUCCAGGCGUUUGGAGGAGGGAAUUCUCUCCCUGCCCCAUUCCCGACGGGAACGGGGCGUGGUUGGGGACCUGUCGAUGUCAGCCCCAGAUCCCAGCGCAGAUGGAACGAUCCCAUUCCCGAUCACACGAUCCCAUUCCCGACCACGCGAUCCCAUUCUCGGCCAGGCGCACGUGGCAGGGAGAGGGAUCCCGAUCCACCCCCCGAAGGGCUGCACCCCCUUUUCCCAGCCUGAAUUCCAAGGGAAAGCCCCCUCCCAUCUCCCAUUUUUUUCCCUGGAAAAAGCAGCCGGCGAUGGAAGGAGGGGAUGGAAAAAUGGGAAGGGGAUGCGGGGGCUUCCCAUUCCCUCCUGGAAGCUUGGGAGGCUCCAGAGGGGGAAAAGCGGGAUGGCAGCGCCUUCUCCCUCCCUCCCUCCCCCUGGCUUUUUCCCUUUCCCUGGAAUAAAAAUUCCAGCGGCUGCUGCCACCAGCGGGAAUUCGGGUCCUGCCCUCGGGGGGGGCUUCUCUCCCACAUUUUUGGGGGGCUCUGGGUGCGGCCGCGCAGCUCCCGAGGGGUUCCCAGGGGCGCGGGGGUAGCAAAAUCCCGGGAAUGCUGGAGGUCCUCCCAGGAUAACGGGGUGAGAGUCUCCCAAAAAUUCGGGCUGGGAGGGGAGGGCGGGAUCCCGGGAAUGCAGAGGGAGCAGGUCCGCCCCGGGAAUUCGGGUCUCCGAGGAUGCUGGGGGGCAGAAAUCCUGGGAUUUCGGGGGGUUCGGGUUUUGAGGGUGCAGAAUCCCGGGAUUUCGAGGGGUUCGAGUCCCCCGAGGGUUUUGAGGGUGCAGAAUCCCGGGAUUUCGGGGGGUGCGGGUCCCCCAGGGAUGCUGGAGUGGGGGUCCCAGAGGUUACUGGGAAGGCGGGGGGGGCGGGUCCCCCAAGAAUUCUGGGGG